rnacentral:rRNA from 1 species
UACACUCCUGCGGGAGGCAGCAGUGGGGAAUAUUGGACAAUGGGCGCAAGCCUGAUCCAGCCAUGCCGCGUGAGUGAUGAAGGCCCUAGGGUUGUAAAGCUCUUUCACCGGUGAAGAUAAUGACGGUAACCGGAGAAGAAGCCCCGGCUAACUUCGUGCCAGCAGCCGCGGUAAUACGAAGGGGGCUAGCGUUGUUCGGAUUUACUGGGCGUAAAGCGCACGUAGGCGGACUAUUAAGUCAGGGGUGAAAUCCCGGGGCUCAACCCCGGAACUGCCUUUGAUACUGGUAGUCUUGAGUUCGAGAGAGGUGAGUGGAAUUCCGAGUGUAGAGGUGAAAUUCGUAGAUAUUCGGAGGAACACCAGUGGCGAAGGCGGCUCACUGGCUCGAUACCGACGCUGAGGUGCGAAAGCGUGGGGAGCAAACAGGAUUAGAAACCCCAGUAGUCCCAUGA